UACGAAGGGGGGCUAGCGUUGCUCGGAAUCACUGGGCGUAAAGGGUGCGUAGGCGGGUCUUUAAGUCAGGGGUGAAAUCCUGGAGCUCAACUCCAGAACUGCCUUUGAUACUGAGGAUCUUGAGUUCGGGAGAGGUGAGUGGAACUGCGAGUGUAGAGGUGAAAUUCGUAGAUAUCAGGAAGAACACCCGUGGCGAAGGCGGCUCUCUGGGACGGUACUGACGCUGAGACGCGAAAGCGUGGGGAGCGAACAGG
rnacentral:rRNA from 1 species